rnacentral:lncRNA from 1 species
GAAGGGUCUUCCUAACAAGAUGUGGGAAGGGUUUGGCGAUGUAUCAUCUUCCAUAUCCACAAUGUAAAAAUCUACAGGAAAAAUUAGUUCGUUCACCUGCACUAAGACAUCUUCAAUUACCCCUCGGGGGUAGGUGUUAGUACGAUCUGCCAAUUGGAUAAUCACACCAGUAUUUUUCAAAGGGCCUAGAUUUUAGGAGGCAUAAACAGAUAAAGGCAUAACAUUAAUUGAAGCUCUUAAAUCUAGC